rnacentral:rRNA from 1 species
AUUGAACGCUGGCGGCAUGCCUUACACAUGCAAGUCGAACGGCAGCACGGGAGCAAUCCUGGUGGCGAGUGGCGAACGGGUGAGUAAUAUAUCGGAACGUGCCCAGUCGUGGGGGAUAACGUAGCGAAAGCUACGCUAAUACCGCAUACGAUCUAUGGAUGAAAGCGGGGGGAUCGCAAGACCUCGCGCGAUUGGAGCGGCCGAUAUCAGAUUAGGUAGUUGGUGAGGUAAAGGCUCGCCCAAGCCGACGAUCUGUAGCUGGUCUGAGAGGACGGACCAGCCACACUGGGACUGAGACACGGCCCAGACUCCUACGGAGGCAGCAGUGGGGAAUUUUU